rnacentral:tRNA from 1 species
GCACUGGUAAGUCAGUGGUAGAAUUCUUGCCUUCCCGUGGGAGACCUGGGUUUGAUUCCUGGUCAGUGCA